UUGAGACUGUGGCCUGUGAUGG
rnacentral:miRNA from 1 species